GGGGGAGUACGGUUGCAAAGCUGGACCUUAAAGGAGUUGACGGAAGGUCACCACCGGAGCGCAGCCUGAGGCUUAAUUUGAAUCCACAUGGGAAACGUCCCCUGGCUGGACAUGGACAGGAUUUUUUUUUUAAGAUUUUAUUUAUUCAUGAAAGACACAGGGAGAGAGAGAGACAGAGACACAGGCAGAGCGAGAAGCGGGCUCCAUGCAGGGAGCCCGAUGUGGGACUCAAUCCCAGGUCCCCAGGAUCACACCCUGGGCCAAAGGUGGUGCUAAACCGCUGAGCCACCCGGGCUGCCUACAUGGACAGGACUGAUAGAGUAGUAGCUCUUUCUUGAUUCCAUGGGUCAUGGCGCAUGGUGGAGGGAUCUGUUUGGUUAAUUCCGGUCACAAAUGAGACUCUGGCAUGCUAACUGGUCACUAGAACCCUCAACUCUGUGUUUUCCGACUUCUUAGAGGGACAAGUGGUGCUCGACUACCCACGAUUUAGCAGUAACAGGCCAGUGAUACCCUUAGAUGUCCGGGCCUGCACACGCCCUACUGACUGGCCCAGGAUGCACCUACCCUAUGCUGGCAGAUGCCGGUAACCUGUGGAACCCUGCUGAGGGGUGGAGAUUGGGGAUGGCAAUUAUUCCCCAAGAAUGAGGAAUUCCCAAUAAGUGUGGGCCAUUCAGUCCCUGCCAUUUGUAUAUACUGCCUGUUGCCAAUACUGAUGGGAUGGUUUAGAAAGGCCCUCAGGUCAGCCCCGCCAGGGUCAGCCCAUGGAUGGCCCUGGCAAAGUGCUGAGAAGACGGUGAAACUUGAAAAAAUACAAGUCCUAACAAGAUUUCCACCAGUAGGAG
rnacentral:ncRNA from 1 species